GAUGAACGCUGGCGGCGUGCCUAAUACAUGCAAGUAGAACGCACAGAUGAUACGCUUGCUCCCUUCACGAUAACGGGUGACGGGCGAAUGACACAUGAAUAACCAACUAAUCAGCCUGGGAGAACGUCGUAAAAACGGGGAAAGUAACGUAUAAUAUAUUAAACUGGAUUAUUGCAUGGUAAUUGACGGAUUUGUUGUAAUGUAUCGCUACAUCCGCGACCCAUUAGCUAUUGGGUAAGGUAACGGCUUACCAAGGCAACGAUGCGUAGCCGACCUGAGAGGGUGAUCGGCCACACUGGAACUGAGACACGGCCCAGACUCCUACGGGAGGCAGCAGUAGGGAAUAUUCGGCAAUGGGCGAAAGCCUGACGGAGCAGCGCCGCGUGAGUGAGGAAGGUUUUCGGAUCGUAAACCUCUGUUAUUAGGGAAGAACAAAUGUGGAAGUAAAUAUGCACGUCGUGACGGUACCUAAUCAGAAAGCGACGGCUAACUACGUG
rnacentral:rRNA from 1 species